ACGAAACAGCGAUGUGGAGCGAAUCCNGAAAAUAUGUCCCAGUUCAGAUUGCAGGCUGCAACUCGCCUGCAUGAAGUCGGAAUUGCUAGUAAUCGCAGAUCAGCACGCUGUGGUGAAUACGUUCCCGGGCCUUGUACACACCGCCCGUCAAACCAUGAGAGUUGGCAACACCCGAAGUCGGUAGUCUAACCGCAAGGAGGACGCCGCCGAAGGUGGGGUCGAUGAUUAGGGUUAAGUCGUAACAAGGUAAC
rnacentral:rRNA from 1 species